rnacentral:rRNA from 1 species
GACAGAGGUGGCAAGCGUUGUUCGGAUUUACUGGGCGUAAAGGGUGCGUAGGUGGUUAGGUAAGACCUGUGGGAAAGACCUGGGCUUAACCCAGGAAGGUCGCAGGUGACUGCCUAGCUAGAGGGCGGGAGAGGAGCGCGGAAUUCCGGGUGUAGCGGUGGAAUGCGUAGAGAUCCGGAAGAACACCGGAGGCGAAGGCGGCUUGCUGGGCAUGGUCUGACGCUGAGGCGCGAAAGCGUGGGGAGCGAACAGG